rnacentral:lncRNA from 1 species
AUGGCUUCUGUUAGUCAAUUUGUUGAGUCUCCUUCUGAGGGACUAUUGGAUCAGUUUUCUAAAGAUCAGUUGCUUGAAGUUGCUAGUCAUUAUGAUGUUGGGUUAUCAAUCACUGAUAAGCGUUUAAAGGAGAACAUUAAGGCUAUAUUAAAAUCUGCAUUAGUAGAGCAGGGUGUUUUGAAGGCUUCACCAGUUUCUACUAGUCCCUUAUCUUUGAGACCUUCUUUAACAUUUGAACAGCAAAAAGAGUUAAUUUUGUUAGAGGCUGCUGCUAAAGAGAAGUUGAUUCAGACACAGCUAGAGGUGGAAAAGCAGAUGGAAUUGUCUAGGCAUAAGUUGGAGCAGAAGAGACUUAAGGUUGAGCAAUAUCGUUUGGAUUUUGUUAAGGCAGGGAGGCUCUCUGGGGCUGGAUUUUCAGCUGGUAUUGUUAAGUCAACCAGUUUUGAUGUAGUUAAAUAUCUUCAGCUACAUCUGACUGUCUAUAAGGCUACUGUUUUUGGAUUAAUUUGUCUUGAUUAUUAAGGCUUCAUUUGAUUGUCAGUGAAGUGAAGAGUCUGUUAAGAGGGACUCUACUUGGCAUCAUUCUUCUAACUCUCGGAUGUGUGCUGCAGGGGAGCAAGUGAGUAAUUUACCUAAGGUUAGAAAUCUUGAAAAUAUCUGCCAUUACUGUCGUGCCAGUGGUCACUGGAAAAAUGAAUGUCCUGUUUUGAAGGCAAAAACAGAGGGCCCUUCUUCCUCUAAAACACAUUUUAGAAGUGCUCCAGUCCCUGUAAAACCUGUUAGAUUGGUUCCUGCUUUUCCUCCUGUUUUUAAAUGAUUAAAUGAUUAUAACUUAAUUUUAAAAUGUCUAGUUGUGUCCUCUAGUAUGAAUGAAUUUCAUUUCAUGUUUUUGGGGAAAAAAGUUUCUAUUUAGCCCUGCUUUAGAUCACUGAAUUAGGUCUCUGAAGAAAGACAUGAUUUUCGGCUCUUGCUUAUAAAAAUAUAGACAUGCCGACAUUGACAGUACAUUUUCCAUAACAAAAAAAAUAUUAUUUAUAAAAAAAAAACUUAUUUUAUGUAUUUUCAUAAUUUCAAAAAUGAAGUUUAUACUGUAGAAACAAAGAAGUAAAGAAGGG